UUUCUUCAUCUGCCCACACGUAUUUAAUCUGUAUUACAAGUACUGAACAAGUUAGAGGAAGAGAAUUCUUCCUUCUGCUAUGGAAAGCCAAAAAAAAAACAGCAAAUACACACACACACACACACAAACACACACAAAUAAAUAAAUAAAUUCCUCUCUGACUCCGAGGAGCCAGAAGGCUGUGCUAAAAACUGAGAGCAGCAUAUACAGAGCUGCUUGAAGUGACUAAUAAGGCUGGAUGAGAUUUUUUCUCCCCAGUGAAGGUGAAUCCCUCACACUGCAGAAAACUCCCCUUUCUUCCAGAAGUGCAUGACAAAAUAUCAGCCUUCUGGUGAAAAACCAUGCAUAAGCCAUAUUUAUAACCCCACGAUGUUGGAUUAUUCAGCCAUUGUGGGGAAUGAAGGGCACGGCUAUUUAGCUAUGCUGAAGGUGGAGGAGGCGCUUGUGAGCUACCUCUCUCCAUCGACGGCAGGUAAUUUGGGGGGCAGCUUUGCCAUCCCAGCCAUGUAAGGCCACCAUUUCAUUUGUGGGCAAGGCCUAUGCAGUAGUAGUCUUGCUUGUGGGUCACUGCAGACAAUGACAGUGUUGCAGGCCUGCCAAGCAGACCUACUGAGUGAGCUCGACAUAUUGCGGCAUUCAGACAGUUUCUUCUCUGUUGUCUCGAGUUCACCAGGGCGUCCACCCGGACCAGCGCUAGUGCAACGAAGGCACAGAAGAUCCCACACUCUGAAGAUACUGUAUGUAUGGUGCAGCUUAAGGCGUCUGGAUUUGGUCAGCGGCAACAACAACUGGUAAGUGUUUCUUUCUGGAUUUUUUAGUUGAAACCAGUUUUAGCACCGAUUGUCAGAUAGAAGCUGUAACCGCACUUCCUUGUUGCUACGAGCUGUGUACACAUUGCUAGAUUAAGGCUAAUUCCAGUAUUCAUAUCCGGUUCCGGUCGGGAGUCGCUUGUUCACGCGACUACUCUUUGUUUUGCUAAUUAAAGAGGUGUGCUGAGCUGUGAAGCACCGCAGUAGUUAAGAAUUAAGGAAAGCUGAGGCAGACGUGUCAGGGGAAG
ensembl:lncRNA